AUGCCCCCACGUGCUGGUGUGUGUGCCGGGUGUGCACGUGAGUCCCCCCACCCCCACCCCCACCCCCACCACGCGGUGCUGACCCCUGUCCUUUCUGAUUCCCCCAGGGCCUCACGGGAGAGGACGGUCUGUCUGGAGGCUGCACGUGGCCGGCUGCGGGGCAUGGCGCGACUCGGGGAGCCCGUGGGAGCCUGGCUGGCCCUGGCCCUGGCCCUGGCCCUGAGUCCCGGCGGUGCAGCAGCCCCGGGGCAGGACUGCACGGGCGUCGAGUGCCCCCCGCUUGAGAACUGCAUCGAGGACGCGCUCGAGCCGGGGGCCUGCUGCGCCACGUGCGUGCAGCAGGGCUGUGCCUGCGAGGGCUACCAGUACUAUGACUGCUUGCAGGGCGGCUUCAUGCGCGGCCGCGUGCCCGCCGGCCAGUCCUACUUCGUGGACUUCGGCAGCACCGAGUGCUCCUGCCCGCCGGGCGGUGGCAAGAUCAGCUGCCAGUUCAUGCCCUGCCCGGAGCUGCCGCCCAACUGCAUCGAGGCCGUGGUGGCGGCCGACAGCUGCCCACAGUGCGGCCAGGUGGGCUGCGUCCACUCCGGCCGCAAGUACGCCGCCGGCCACACUGUCCGCCUGGCGCCCUGCCGGGCCUGCCACUGCCCCGACGCGGGCGGCGAGCUCAUCUGCUACCCGCUGCCCAGCUGCCACGGAGAUGCCACCCCCGGAAACACCUCGGACGCCGAGGAGGGCGACCCUGAGCGGCACUACGAGGACCCCUACAGCUACGACCAGGAGGUGGCCGAGGCGGAGGCCCUGGCGGGCGAGCUCCAGGCGGGCGCUGGGGGCCCGGCCGCUCUGGGAGGCGGGGGUCAGCCACCUUCAGCCCUCCAGGCCACUCUCUGGCCGGCCGCCCUCCCCAGGCCCACGGCAGCCGCCGCUCUGGGUCCCCCGGCCCCCGUGCAGGCCAAAGCCAGGAGAGUGACGGACAACGGUCAGGAAGACAGGGAGGCGCCGGCCAUCCGGGAGCAGCUGGCCGCAGGCGGCCCCCGGGGGCUGGAUGGACGGCCCACGGCAGGCCCGAUGCCGGCUCACCCUGUCCGGGAGGAGGGGGCCGAGGCCAGGGCCGGGGUGGAAGAGAACCUCAUCCCCGACGUGCAGGCCACGCACCGCAGUGCCGGGCCCCCUCCCACGCUCAGCGUGCCCAGCAUCCUCCUGACCGAGACCACGCAGGGCCCCCCCACAGACCCCACCGAGCCCAGUGCCCCUGCCGCCCUGACCACACUUCAGCGGGAGAUCCCCCGCGCCCCGCCCACCCAGGAAGUGCCCCAGCAGCCGGCCGGGCCCCGGUCCCGGCUGGAGGAGGAGGAGGACCCCAACUCCGUGCACUCUGUCCCGAGAGGCGGCCUGGAAGUGUCCACGAAGGACCUGAUCGAGACGUGCUGCGCAGCCGGGCAGCAGUGGGCCAUCGACAGCGACGAGUGCCUGGACAUCCCCGAGAGCAGCGCCGAGGGCGACGUGUGCAGGACGGCCCAGAAGCACUGCUGCGUGUCCUACUUGAAGGAGAAGAGCUGCAUGGCUGGCGUGCUGGGCGCCAAGGAGGGCGAGGCCUGCGGGGACGAGGACAACGACACCUGCGGCGUCUCCCUGUACAAGCAAUGCUGUGACUGCUGCGGCCUGGGGCUCCGCGUGCGGGCUGAGGGCCAGUCCUGUGAGUCCAACCCCAACCUCGGCUACCCCUGCAACCACGUCAUGCUCUCCUGCUGUGAGGGUGAAGACCCCCUCAUUGUGCCCGAGGUCCGCCGGCCUCCAGAGCCUGAGGCCGCACCACGGAGAGUUUCAGAGGCAGAGUUGGCGAGCCGGGAGGCCCUGUCGCUGGGCACGGAGACCGAGCUGCCCAACAGCCUGCCGGGCGACGACCAGGACGAGUGCCUGCUCCUCCCGGGGGAGCUGUGCCAGCACCUGUGCAUCAACACGGUGGGCUCCUACCGCUGCGCCUGCUUCCCCGGCUUCUCGCUGCAGGAUGACGGCCGCACCUGCCGCCCAGAUGGCGGCCCCUCCAAGCCGGAGGCCACAGAGGAGUCUGCGCAGAGGCCCGAGUCCUCCCAGGAGGCCCCCAACACCAUCUCAUUGUCCGUGCCGCAUCCCAACAUCUGCCAAGACAACGGGCCCUGCAAGCAGGUCUGCAGGGUCGUCGGGGACGCGGCCGUGUGCUCCUGCUUGCCCGGCUUUGCCAUCAUGGCGGACGGCGUGUCCUGUGAAGACAUCAACGAGUGCGUGACAGACCUGCACACGUGCAGCCGCGGCGAGCACUGUGUGAACACGGUGGGCUCCUUCAUCUGCUACAGCGCCCUGAGCUGCCAGCCAGGGUACAAGGUCGAGGAGGGCCGGUGUACAGAUGUGGACGAGUGUGAGCUGGGCACACACAACUGCCCGGCGGGCGCCGUGUGCCGCAACACCGAGGGCUCCUUUCACUGCCAGGCUCGGGAGCGCUGCCUGGAGGGCUUCCUGCAGGACCCCGAGGGCAACUGCGUGGACAUCAAUGAGUGCACGUCUCUCUCCGAGCCGUGUCGGUCCGGCUUCAACUGCAUCAACACGGUGGGCUCCUACACGUGCAGACGGAGCCUGGUGAUCUGUGGACGUGGCUACCACGCCAGCGAGGACGGGACCAAGUGUGUGGACGUGAACGAGUGUGAGACGGGUGUGCACCGCUGCGGCGAAGGCCAGACGUGCCACAACCUCCCCGGCUCCUACCGCUGCGACUGCAAGCCUGGCUUCCAGCGGGACGCCUUCGGCCGCGCCUGCAUCGACGUGAACGAGUGCUGGACAUCACCCACGCGUGUCUGCCAGCACACGUGCGAGAACACGCUGGGCUCCUACCGCUGUUCCUGCGCCUCCGGCUUCCUGCUGGCGGCCGACGGCAAGCACUGUGAAGAUGUGAACGAGUGUGAGGCCCAGCGCUGCAGCCAGGAAUGCGCCAACAUCUACGGCUCCUACCAGUGCUACUGCAGGCACGGCUACCAGCUGGCCGAGGACGGGCACACCUGCACAGACAUUGACGAGUGCACCCAGGGCGCCGGUGUCCUCUGCACCUUCCAGUGCAUCAACGUGCCAGGGAGCUACCAGUGUGCAUGCCCGGAGCCCGGCUACACCAUUACGGCCAACGGCAGGUCCUGCAAGGACCUGGACGAGUGCGUGCUGGGCACCCACAACUGCUCCGAGGGUGAGACCUGCCAUAACGUCAAGGGCGGCUUCCGCUGCCUGCGCUUCGACUGCCCUCCGAACUACGUCCGAGUCUCCGAAAUGAAAUGCGAGCGCACGCAGUGCCACGACUUCCUGGAGUGCCAGAACGCGCCCGCGCGCAUCACGCACUACCUGCUCAACUUCCAGACCGGGCUGCUGGUGCCCGCGCACAUCUUCCGCAUCAGCCCCGCGCCCGUCUUCGCCGGCGACACCAUCGCGCUGACCAUCACCAGGGGCAACGAGGAGGGCUACUUCGGCACGCGCCGCCUCAACGCCUACACGGGCGUGGUCUUCCUGCAGCGCGCCGUGCGCGAGCCGCGCGACUUCGCGCUGGACGUGGAGAUGAAGCUCUGGCGGCAGGGCUCCGUCACCACCUUCCUGGCCAAGAUGCACAUCUUCUUCACCACCUUCGCCCUGUGAGGCGGCGCCCGCCGUGGGCAGCGCGUGGAGCCCGGGUCCCCCCGCUGGUCCGGCGCCCUGGCCGCGCGCCCGCCUCCACGCUCCCGCCGGCCGCGUGGGGGACCGGCGCUGUGGCCG
rnacentral:lncRNA from 1 species